rnacentral:rRNA from 1 species
AGCACCGGCUAACUCCGUGCCAGCAGCCGCGGUAAUACGGAGGGUGCGAGCGUUAAUCGGAAUUACUGGGCGUAAAGCGCAUGCAGGUGGUUUGUUAAGUCAGAUGUGAAAGCCCGGGGCUCAACCUCGGAAUUGCAUUUGAAACUGGCAGACUAGAGUACUGUAGAGGGGGGUAGAAUUUCAGGUGUAGCGGUGAAAUGCGUAGAGAUCUGAAGGAAUACCGGUGGCGAAGGCGGCCCCCUGGACAGAUACUGACACUCAGAUGCGAAAGCGUGGGGAGCAAACAGGAUUAGAUACCCUGGUAGUCCACGCCGUAAACGAUGUUUACUUGGAGGUUGUGGCCUUGAGCCGUGGCUUUCGGAGCUAACGCGUUAAGUAGACCGCCUGGGGAGUACGGUCGCAAGAUUAAAACUCAAAUGAAUUGACGGGGGCCCGCACAAGCGGUGGAGCAUGUGGUUUAAUUCGAUGCAACGCGAAGAACCUUACCUACUCUUGACAUCCAGAGAACUUUCCAGAGAUGGAUUGGUGCCUUCGGGAACUCUGAGACAGGUGCUGCAUGGCUGUCGUCAGCUCGUGUUGUGAAAUGUUGGGUUAAGUCCCGCAACGAGCGCAACCCUUAUCCUUGUUUGCCAGCGAGUAAUGUCGGGAACUCCAGGGAGACUGCCGGUGAUAAACCGGAGGAAGGUGGGGACGACGUCAA